CUUUACUCUGACAUUCUAGCAGCAGUUUUAGACUCAGAAAAACAGUCAAGAUGAUCACUGUUCUUCUGACUUUUACUGCAUCAUUCAUCUGCCAUAUAGGAAGGUCUUCUGCAGAUAACAAUGUUAAUCAGUCUCCUCCUGAUUUAAUUAAGAAUAUAAAGGAAUCUACAAAUCUUUCCUGUUCUAACUCCAGACCUAACCAUCAGUACAUGCUGUGGUACAAACGAUCUGAAAACACACAGUUACAGCUUCUUGGAUAUCUCAAUGCAAAGUUUUCUUAUCCUGAAGAUUCCCUGAAAACUAAAAUUGAGCUGCAUGGAGAUGGAAACAGUCAUGGGAUACUUACCAUUAAAAAUCUGCAGCCAGAUGACAGUGCAGUUUAUUUCUGUGCAGUGAAAUUAGACACAGUGCUACAGGACUCUGUGAUCUAUGACAAAAACCUCCUCCUUCAGAGCAGCACAAAUCUUCCACCUGCUGUAGUCUUCAAAGUACAUGUAACAGUUGCCACCAUUAAACUACACUACAGACCUCACCACUGGCUCUGUAAUUUCAUUUUUUGA